AGCUCUUCAUCUUUGGCCUGAAGUUCUUCCUCCUGGCGAGUCACUUGUAGAAGCGGCUUCACCUAUGACAAAGGACACCGUUACAGCGAAGCUGAUCUAGGACUAGGUGUGGAUCCAAUUUUCCAGCCUAAUCAAGCAAACCCUCUUCUCGUGAUUUGGAAUGAUACAACGAACAAAGUUAGGGUUGGUGUUUCGGAGAGUUGCCAUCAGCUUGGUGAGAGAUUCUUUGUAGAGUUGCCCAACGGUACGAAACAUGCCCUUCUUGGUUUUAUAUGCGGAGCCAAAAGCUGUCUCAGUCAUACCAGUGACUUGAUCCAGACCCACGAUACGGUCCACUGGGGAGA
rnacentral:lncRNA from 1 species